AAUGCUAAUCUGGCAACCCCGAGCCAUUUUUCCGCUUCCUUUAUUGCCCUCCCUCUCUUUAGCCCUUCUUUUCCCUCUGACUUCUUCGUCGGCUCUAUAGCGUGGUGGAGCUGUCAGAGCCCGAAACGACACAUUUCUUAGUUUAAAGUUCGUUCGUUGUCCUCGAGGUUAUAUACUCUUCUGAUUGUUAGUGUCUCCUCUUCCUACAUUGUCCAGUCGCCACCUUGGCUCUAAGACUAUUCGCCAUUCUCUGGCCCUCCACGUGAUAAUCUGUCCAGCAUUCUGAUUUGGGUCUGAUUGUGUCUGUCUGACUCUUUGCAAUCCUUGCGAGUCACUCUCUUCUCACUUUUGUGUGUGCAAUCCCAGAAGCCACACGAUGUCUCUGAAUACAAUAUUCAUUCAUCCAUCAGCCUACAGUCAGGCCACGAGAAAUUUAAUUCAAGGGUUCCAUCAAGGGAACAGAACCAGAUGGUGUUUAUUGUCAAGACCCUGGGCACUUUGCGUCAACCGACAUUCUCAAGCUAAUGAACAACGAUUGCAUAAUAUGUUCGCACAACGGACCGCCCGUAAAGUUCAGACAUGAAUGAAUCAUGACAGGAAUCAACUUUCGGGGCUGGUUCAACAACAUCAAUUCAGCAUGUUUACCGGUCAUACGGUUUUUCAUAUUUGAAGUGCCUUCAUUCUUAAAAGUUUUGGUUUAGUAGUUACAAUGAAUAGUUAACUCAUCAUUCUCAUCGUUCUUCAGAGCGAAAUACUUCCAAUAUAGAGACGUCCGAGUGUAAGCAUGUUUUCUAACUUUUCAAAAUGUUCCAGUUGCAGAAAUGGGCCAACGUCUCAACUCUUCACCUUAUAGCAUAACAAGUUCAGUCAGUUAAUCGUAAUAAUACAAAAAUCAAUUAAGCAUAGACCUAAUCUAAUACAGUUUUAAACUAUGGUCAAGUUAAAAGAUGAGUACGAUAAAUAUAAUACUUGGCAGUUCUGUGCUAGCUGAAGCUGUUGAAUUCUGCUCUGUCAAAGAAGUAGGAAGAGGGUCAACACUCUCAGUCACAUCAGCUUCUUCUUCGAUUGAAGAAUCAGAAUCUAAUAUGAUAUGAUAACACCUACAGUAUGUUGAACAACAGGGGUUUUACUAUCUUGAAAUGAUUUACUGGUGUUGGUGGAUUUUUUCUGUUGUUGUUUUGAUUUAGGAUUCAUUUCUGACCAAAAUAAAAAAUAAAAAA